CCAUUUUAAGUGUAUUCAAUCACUUAAAUGCUUCCAUUGAUAAUCUUGUGUUUAAUUUAUUGUUUAUAUGUGAUUUUUAUAAAUCAAAUUUUUGAGGCAAUUUCAGUUAACACAAUUCAGUAAAAAAUAACCAGAUGUUUCCGAGCUACCUUUGAUAAGAAUUUCACCGUAACGUUAAUAUUGAAGUUCACAAUUUAAAUAAAUAGUCCAUUAAUCAUUUUAUAUAAUUUAUUUUGCCGACUUUUCACAAUUUCAUAAUAUUUUAGGAAAUGAAAAACGGUUUCCUGGCAGACACAAUCCCACACGUUUUACAACCUUUAAAAUGACUCUUUACCACAUAACUGGAACCUAUUUUCAAAUCAGUUUUGUCGUGACAGGAUCCGUUUGAAACUGGUCGUUCCGGCGGGCUUAUUUUUUUGAUGUAGCGCCAUCAUCCUGAAAAUUGCAUUCGUUUCGUCCAGAAAUGGAAUUCUGAACUGCCGUUUGUACACGCAGCGAAAAGUAGUAUCAUUGAAAUUAAAAAUACACAUCUUUGAUUCAAAAACCUUGUGUACAUAGAAACAAAAUCCAAUUUCCUUGAUUUGGCGGAAUCUUCCUGCCGGGCAACCCCAGACAGCACGGUGAGAUCCGGCGUAGGAAAGUUUCGACAGCUAUGAAAGGGCAAACGAUAGUGGGCUCCAAGGGCAAUCUUUCAUCCAACCAAUUUGAAGAGGUAACUGUACUGACUAUUCCAGUCCUCCGGCUAAGCGGUUGCAAUCGGUUCCGAUCCGGUCUAAGGAGACACGACGGCUGGCGCCUGAACCCUUUGGUCGAAAGCAACUGUCCACCAACAAAUAUCGUUCAAUGAACCGGUUUAAAAAUUCAAACAAGGGAAGAUCGAUUAUGUGAAGUGGAGAAAGGUAGAACCAAGGUUGCUGAUCUUCGCUCAGAAUGGUUUUUCACUCCGAUCCUAGUCACCAACGAGUUUACGCCUCAACAUAGAAAGUCUGUUUUCUUUAGAAACGACGCUUUUCAGCAUCGAACGACGCAAACCUAGUUUGUUUUUCUUCCCCUCUUUAGUGAUCCGUUAUUUUUUGAGUUACUAUCGGUAACCAUCAAACAAUCAUCAUUCGCUUCUAAUGAAAACAUUGCGCGUAGACGGCGUCGAAUUCUUCGACAUCUACUCGACUCGCUGACGAUCAUGCUUCGCUCCAUGAAGGAAAACGAGUUAAUUCUUGGAACGCAAGAGAUGCCCAAUAGCCAAAUUUAUGCCAAAAUUGCCUUAUUUUCCUCUCAAGCUGUGUUAAUUAUUUUAUUAAAUGUCGGUCUUAGUCUUUAUCCCAGGAAUUGAUCCCUAGUAGCAUUCUCCCUUAAAGGUCUGAUUGUGGGCAUGAAUCAACAGCAUCGUCAUCAACUCGCGCCGAAUCAACUCGCAAACGAGUUCAUUCAGUAGCAAAGCGAAUGAUUGCUGGAGUAUACAAUGACUAAAAAUCGGAAGGAGAAAAUCAACAAGGAACGCUAGGCAACACAAACAGAACGAAAAUUCAUAGUACAUGGUUCACUAAGACGGCGUUCUUAUGUUGCAUGUUUUGAUUCGUUCGCGAGUCGAUGCUUAACAGCGUCGUUACUGUGGUUGCGUCGUAACGAUUGAAAAUUUUGAAGCAAACGAAGCGAUUAUCAGUAACCCUGGGUAGAAC